rnacentral:rRNA from 1 species
CCUACGGGAGGCAGCAGUGGGGAAUAUUGCACAAUGGGGGAAACCCUGAUGCAGCGACGCCGCGUGAGUGAAGAAGUAUUUCGGUAUGUAAAGCUCUAUCAGCAGGGAAGAAAAUGACGGUACCUGACUAAGAAGCCCCGGCUAACUACGUGCCAGCAGCCGCGGUAAUACGUAGGGGGCAAGCGUUAUCCGGAUUUACUGGGUGUAAAGGGAGCGUAGACGGCGGUGCAAGCCAGGAGUGAAAGCCCGGGGCUCAACCCCGGGACUGCUCUGGAAACUGUACGGCUGGAGUGCAGGAGAGGCAGGCGGAAUUCCUAGUGUAGCGGUGAAAUGCGUAGAUAUUAGGAGGAACACCAGUGGCGAAGGCGGCCUGCUGGACUGUGACUGACGUUGAGGCUCGAAGGCGUGGGGAGCAAACAGGAGUAGAUACCCGUGUAGUC